CACCGCAGGUUGGAACAACAAUGAUAUCAUUACAUCACUCUAAGACUCAAGAAUUAAGUCAAGCUCAUACGUGGAGCAAAAUACCAAGUUAUUACAACUCAUGGACUCAUGUCCACAAUCAUCAUUACACCAGCGGAAGCAAAUUAGGCUCGAGUAUGGACAAAUUACAAUUAUUGCCUAAGAGGCUGAAACUGAAAGGAGAUCCACAAGUUCUCAGAACCUUGCUCUGGAAUCUUCUGGCUAAAUAUCGAAGCUAUCGUCGUUGAACUCCACGAAGUAACCACUCACCUGUUCCUCCGGAAACUCUGGAGAAAACAACGUUGCAAAGCAACUGAGUACAAAGUACUCGCAAGACUUAUGGGAGAUCUAAACUAGAUAUGCAACAUGUCUCAAAGGAUGGAUAAUAUGGUGGGGUUAUGCAGCAGCAAAAAUAUCUGGAGACACACACUAAUGACAUCGUCUAAAUAGAGGAUAAGAAGCGUCUACUAAGUGCGGUGAUAAUCUAUCAACUAACACAAACAAACACAACCUCUUAUCACCCCCUCAACCACUUGUGAGGAAAUGAUCCAAAGGCACUCACACCUAAGCGGUUUAAAGCAUAUCCAUGGUUAAGGCUAAUUACUACUCAAGUUUUAGGAGAUUAAGUUAAUUAAAUGGUAUGAGUUCUCUAUGAUCAAGUAAUGACCAACCAAGUCGUCCAUGACCGUGGACACGGUUUUCCGAAAGAUCUGCAGGGUGUGUCAAUUUACCCGUACACGUUCAUCCAACCCUUGACGCCACUAGCAUGAAACACACGCAUGUGCCGGCAGGAUUGCACGACACGACGUUUCCAAGUCCCACAACUAAUCCAGGGAACCACCCAACUGAGUCUAAUCCGAAACGAGAGCCCGACCGAAGCGUCAUACAGACUCAAGAGUUGCGGGAACAGCUGGUAGUGGUUCAGUGUCCACAGAAUAACCACUCCAGACGUGUGCCGCAGUCCUAUAUGUAUGCAAAGUACCAACAAGUCUCCAAUCACAACACCAGUGUAUAUGCGAUAUGCCAAAUGGAACGCCCGAACUAUGUGGCCCCUGGAAGAGCUAUGAAACGAGUACUAAGCCGAGGGGGAACCCAUAUAUUCUCCCACGAGCGGUUAGCACGAAGUUUCUUGGGUCGGCGAAAAUGAGAACCCAGUUCUUAGGUCGGCGCCAAUGGAACAAAACACCAAUGCGUUAGCACGGCCUCCCACCGUUGCCUUGUGCAGGUAAUAACAGUCAUACUUUAAUAAUUGCAAUUAAAUACAGAAAAGUAGCAUGUGGAUGUAGCAAUUGUGUAACCCCAGAAGUAAGGACAAAAGACUAGCAACUAAGCGACAUCUAAUGACCAAGAUGUAGGGCAACAACAAACAUGUGACAUGGUAUUAGGACAAGUAACAAGACAUAAGGCAAUAAGUGGAGCUGACUAAUAAGAUAUGCAAUCCUAAUGGCAUCGUGACAAGACUGAGAUUGUAACUUAAUGCAAGAUUGAGGGAGAAGCAAUAGGAAUAAUCAACAUGGUCAAGGAAUGGCUGCUUGCCUGGAUUCUCGGUCGCUGGGCACCGAGAGAGGGGAUUCGAAGAAGUGUGGGAACCCGGAUCGUCGACGGAGUAAGUCGGAGUCGCUAUCGUAAAGAACCAAAUCACACAAUACGCAAAUAAGUAACCAUUCAUAGGUGCAAUGCACAAUACAACAUGAGAUGGCAUGUGACAACAUGAUGCAACAAUAUGCAAGUGAAAUGAUUCCAUUUAGCAACAAAGUUAACCAUUAGGUGAUUAGAACAUGGUAAACAACAGCUUUAAAAUACACAAAUGGCCUAACCAAGUAUGCUAAUGUGUUCUACAAGUUACAGUGAUCAACUUUGAUGUUUACACUAAUUACAGAAGGGUUACCAAUUUUAAAUUAGAGACUAAACAAAUUCAUACGUUUGAAUUUCAAAUCUGGGACAUAUUUGAAAUUUGAAACUUAAAAAUGUAAAUCUAAUUGCACAGUUAAACUCGUUGCAUUUUUAUGAUUCCAAAACAUAUAUGGUUUGCUCAAUUUGGACAUAGCAUGCAUUUUCUAGGAUUUAAACAAGAGUUGAAAUAUUUCUGGAAUUUAAAAACAAAUGAAAACACACAGAGAACUAAAACUACGCGGGCAAAGCUAGCCUGUGCGGCUGACAGCGGGCCCGGAAGGGCUGACUAGGUGGAGCGCGCUGAGCUGGCUGCCACGGUCACUGACCAGCGGGUCCCACCUGUCAGAUUUGGACAAAGAGUAAAAAGGUGGGGUUUUUACCCUGCGCCCACGGGAGAUCGAACUCGGGUCGGUUUGACCGAGCGAAAGGACGAGCAAGGUAGCCAGGCGGGCUGCGAAACGGAUCUUACAAGAUUCAGGGCGCAAACCCUUUUAAACUAAAAGGAACGCCGGUGGCUCGCAGGCGCGUGCGGCGGCCACGACAAUGACUCGUCGGCGGCGACCACGUGGCACGGCGGAGGGCUAGCAACGCGGAAACGGAAGCGGCGCGCAGAGUUAUUCUAAGUGGCACGAAGACCACCACAUCAUCCUUAAGGAGAACGAAGGCGCGGCGCGACGAGUAAGCUCGCCGGCGGCAACCGGAGCGCGUGCGCACAGCUACGAAGCUACGGAGCACUAAAAUGAGCGCGGAAAGGAGCGGGAGAGAGAGGAGCUCACCCCGAAUCCUCAGGAGGAAGCUGACGAGGAUUUGGUGGACGGGCUUGCCGGAAUUUGGGAAGAACUCGCCGGCGACGGAAGAGGAAGAAGUUGAAGUAGACGUGGAUGUAGACGUUCUCCGAUCAAUUGCUCGCGCGUAGAUGAAGUAGACGUCGUCGCGGUGCUGGUGACACGGACGAAGCUCCCUAGCUCCUGCUGGAACGGCGGCUCAUCAGAGUAGCGCCCGCGGCCGAAAGAAUGAGGCGACGACGCUGCGCAGAAAGGGGAAGAAGAAACCCUAGCUAGGGUUUCCUGGUGACGGCGCGGGUAGGAGGAGGCGCUAGGGGCGCUUAAGUAGGCGAGGAAGGCCGUCACGUCGCUGUCGCGUCGACGUGGCGCGCGGGGCUCACCGGCCAGGAAGAAGAAAGCAGAGGGGAGGAAGAAGCUGUGAGAGAUGGCGCCCUCUGGAGUUUACGCUUUCGCUGCAGGGAAACGCAAAGCGGGGCGGCGCGGCGGGGCUGCGGAGAGCGCGCGCGGGAGAAGGGCUGAGGCGGCUGGGCCGGCUCGGGCCAAAGGGUAAGCAGGUGAGGUUUUUGUUUUUGUUUUUGUUUUUCUUUUCUGUUUUCUAUUUUUGGAAAUAGUUUUUGGAUUCAAAUUUCAAAUACCAUUUUGAAAAGCUGAGAAGUAGAAGAAUUCAAAUAUGGCACUACUAUUUAGAAAUAUUCAACUGGGGUUAAAGGUUUGAAACAAAACCCAUUUGAAUGUCAUUUAUAAAUAUAGGAAAAGGAAUUCAAACUCAAAGAAGGAUGAUUCA
rnacentral:lncRNA from 1 species